CCAUUUGCCUUGGCACCUUUGCUCCUUCUAUCUCCAUCCCCUCUGAGAUUUCUUAAAAGAACACAUGGGCCCACUCGACAUCGCUCCACUGAGCUCUCUCUAACCUCCUUGCACUGAGUCGGGAGCUUUGCACAAAGAAGGGAAAUUAAGAUUGCGUGUACACCCCGAUCCUAACUCCGAAGGAAGCAAUCAUCUAGGACCAUCCUGCUGGACCCAACAGUGCGAAACAGCGGGUGAGGGGAGAACCAGGCCCCCUGAAGAAAGUCCUGAAUGAUGGGAGCCUUGGUGAUGGGACGGACCAACAAGUUCCAGAGUAACAACAGAUGGCAGGAGGCAGGAGAUCCAGCUGAAGAGAAGAGGGUCUGACAGCAAGUUGCUGACCCAGCUUCUAGCACAGCUGCCCUCUUCCACAGAAUGGGAAGAAGGAACCUUUUGUGCCUCUCCGUACCAUCAUCCUCAACACUCGAAAACAAGCAAGACCCUUCUAUCUUGGAGAAGUCUGGCCACUUGUUCCGCAGAGGCUGCUGUGGAAAG
rnacentral:lncRNA from 1 species